rnacentral:rRNA from 1 species
UUUAAAGAGAGUUUGAUCCUGGCUCAGGACGAACGCUGGCGGCGUGCCUAAUACAUGCAAGUCGAACGAACGGAGGAAGAGCUUGCUCUUCCAAAGUUAGUGGCGGACGGGUGAGUAACACGUGGGCAACCUGCCUGUAAGUUGGAGAUAACUCCGGGAAACCGGGGCUAAUACCGAAUGAUAAAGUGUGGCGCAUGCCA